rnacentral:lncRNA from 1 species
GUUGUUGUAGCUGACAUUCAAAUUCUCGAGAUUGAUGCAAUUGCUUAUGGUUGAAGGAAUUGGACCGAUGAGAUCGUUCUGUGAGAGAUCAACUUCGGAGAUUGAAGGAAUCUUCGUGAUUUCAUGAGGUAUGGUUCCUGUCAGAUAGUUUUUACUGAUAUUCAACUGAAUUAGUUUUUCACAAUCACCGAUGUUCCUUGGAAUGGUUCCGUUGAUUGAAUUUCCUUGUAAUUCGAUCCGGUAAAUAUUUUGGCAACCAAUGAAAUUGGGAAUUCUACCGGUGAUUUUGGAAAAUGAAGCUGAGAAAAAUUGUAGGUUAGUUGAAUUCCAAAUGCUGUUUGGUAAAUUGCUUUCAAAUGAGUUUCCUGAGAUGUUUAGGUAUUGUAGGUUUUCUAAUUUUAGUGGAAUUUUGCCAUUGAAAUUGUUGUUGCUUAAAUCUAGGUAGGUUAAAUUUGGAACCAGUGUAAGGGUUUGUGGAAUUGACCCGUUGAGUUUGUUGUUUUGGAUUCGAACCCUAGUGAGUGAGGUACAGUUGUUGAGUGACGAUGGAAGACUAUUGGUGAAAUUGUUGUCGAAGAGAAUGAACCAAACCAAAUUGUUUCCUUUGCAAAUGUUGAUGGGGAUCGAACCUUGAAGUGAGUUUGUGGAAACAUCAAGUAAUUUUAGUAACCCAUUGGAACCGAGUUUUGGUGGUAGUGUACCUCUGAGUGAGUUGUUGAAAACUUGGAAAGUGUUAAGUUUUGAGAGUUCACUAAUUUCUUGUGGAAUUUCACCUCUUAGUUUGUUAUCCAUCAGAUGCAAAAUUGUUAGUUCCUUUAACAUUGUUAUUUCUGAUGGAAUUGAACCCGUGAGUUUAUUUUCUGAUAAAUCAAUAGCUUUUAGGGAUUUCAACUUGCCUAUGCUUGAUGGGAUUUCACCACUUAAGUGAUUCUUGAAAAGAAGCAGUGUUUCAAGCAUGGUUAAGUUUCCUAGUUCAGGAAUCACUAGACCAGAAAUGUUGGCUUGUGAGAUGUCUAAGUAUUUUAGACUACACAACAUUGUUAGUUCAACUGGUAGUGUUCCUGAAUAUGUGUUGUAUCCAAUUUCUAAAUGUUGUAGCUCUGAUAAUAAGCCUAGUUCAGGUGGUAGUGUGCCUUCCAAUGCAUUACCAGCUAAAUCUAGGAACUUGAGUCUUUUGAAAUUUCCAUAGCUUGGUGGGAUUCUUCCAUUGAAGUAGCUUCCACCAAGGCUGAGCUUUUCUAGAAAUGGAAGCCUGAUUAGUUCUUCAGGAAGAGGGCCAGUGAAACUGUUGCUGUAUGCAUUAAAGGUUCUUAAAAAUAUUAACUUCGAAAUUCCAGGUGGAAAAGUUGAGUUGAAAGAGUUAUGGCUAAUGUCUAGUGUUCUAAGUUCACCGAGUUGGAAAAUUGCUGUUUGGAAAGUUCCAUUGAAGUCAUUUCCACUUAUGUUCAAGUGGGUUAAGGUUGUUAAGUAACGGAUUUGGGGUGAGAUUAUGCCUGAAAAUUUGAGGUUAGAGAGGUUUAGUGAAAUGAUUUGUGUUGUUUUUGGGUGGCAAGUGAUGCCUCUCCAAGAACACCAAACUGGGUCUUGGUGGUUAUCGGAAGGAUUUUCCCAGUCAGCGAGUUGAUUUAGAGGGUCAAUUAGGGAGGAUUUUAUUGAGAGGAGGGUGAUGAGUUGAAAGCGAAGAGUUGUGACAGUGGGAACUAAUGGUAGUGUUUGGGAAAAAAUUGACAAUGUGAUUAGAAAGAAAAGAAAAGGUUUCAUUGUUUUGGAGUAAUGAUUUUGUUGUUGAAUCAGUCUUGAUCAAUGCAUCUCAGGAUGAACAGUGUGUUUCAGUUUCAGAGGAGGAUUGGUGUGCAGAUUGAGCAAUUUCUUGGCAGAACAGGGUUCACUUGUUACAGUAGCAUUAUCUGUGCAGAGUUGUGUUGUCUGGUGUCUUUUGUUAUUUAAUCAUCAGUGUCAGUAGGCUUGCGAUAAUUGUUUUGCAGGUGGCUUUUAGGUGAUCAGGCUUUCAUAUGUUGAAGGACCUGAUUGUUUCAUAUAUUGAAUUGUGGUGGUGCUAGCAUUUGCUUGUACUUGAAUUUUAGGUUUUGUAGCUUUGGUGUUGCUUGGUUUUGGAUGUAGUUGUGUUAUAUCUUCAGUGUUUUUUGAAGAAGGUUGAGAAAUAUCUUCAGUGUUGCUUGGUUAAUGCAGCACAAGUUUUAUAAAGAAGGUUGAUAAAUAAACAAGGAGUUUGAUCAUAUUUAUAACUAGCAUAAAGUUACAUUAAUUUUUCUUUGCAAAAAUGAGUACUAUUUUUUCCCAGGUAGCAUAAUCUUUCUUCACUCACAAGUAAGUGUGUUAAUAAGGAAGGUGAAUAAAUUCCCUUAAAAAGAAAGGGAGUUAAAUUAAAAUAUCUGAUUAAAGGCUUCGUUUGAGUCAGUUUUGUAAAAAUGUCAAAAUGCCUCCCAUUUUUUCUCCAGGAAGCACAAUUUUUCUUCACUCAAAUAAGUGUGCUAAUAAGGAAGGUGAAUAAAUUCCCUUAAAAAGAAAAAAAAAAAAAAAAAAAAAGGAAGGUGUAUAAACUAACAUCUGAUUUUUAAAUAGAGCAAUGCUAUAUGUUACGAUUAAUUUCACGUAUGAAAACUGACGAAUGCACAAAUGUCUAGUUUUAAAGGAAUAAAAAAUCAGAUUUAGUAUGCUGGAACACAAAUCAUGGGGCAGUGGCAAUUAAAGCUUGACAAUCAUCACUUGAAUAAUACUAAAAAUACUUACUUUACAGAAUACAUGGUGGUACGACAUUCAAAGUGUAAGCAAUUAACAGAAUUCGUAGCUUUUCGUAGUUACCAUCUCGUACCAUCCAUCAUUACCCUUUUAAAUAAGAGGUGCAAAAAUUCUUUUAAAAAAAAAAAAGAGGUGCAUAAAUAUUUCAUCUUUUUUUUCUUUUUUCUUUUUUAGAAAUGUCACCAUUGUUUUAUACCUCUUACUAUGCAUUCAUUGUUAUUUUUAAAAUAAAAGAUGUUUUUUUUAAGCCAAAAUUUAAAAUAAAAGAUGUUUUUUUUUUGACAAAAAUAAAAGAUGUUACGACACAUGAAAUGACGAUUGAAUGCAUAGUAACCGUUAGAUCAAAUCUUUUUUUAUUUAUUUAUGCAAAUACAAAAACACUGCACCGGUUAUAAGUCGUGGGUUACAUUUGUUGUACUACACAGCAAUCAUCUUUUAAAAAUAACCCACCAUUUCCUUUCCUUUAAUAUAUAUUUAGUUUUUAUAUUCUUAUGUUUUAUUUUUCAUCUUUUUUCGUUUAUGAUGAUAUUUUAGGGAUUCGACUCUAUCUUUAUUCUUUCAAUAGUCCUUUGGUACAAAAUGGAGAUUGCCCUGUCUACCAAUGUGUACAAAAUUCCAUUCAUCGAAUGCCGUGUACAAAUCAUUGACGUCUUACCAGGGGAGGCUAAUGCAAAAAACAUUAGAGCAUAAGGUU